rnacentral:rRNA from 1 species
GACGAACGCUGGCGGCGUGCUUAACACAUGCAAGUCGAACGGAAAGGCCCUGCUCUUGUGGGGUGCUCGAGUGGCGAACGGGUGAGUAACACGUGAGUAACCUGCCCUUGACUUUGGGAUAACUUUAGGAAACUGGGGCUAAUACCGGAUAGGAGCUCUUGCUGCAUGGUGGGGGAUGGAAAGAUUCGGCGGUUGGGGAUGGACUCGCGGCUUAUCAGCUUGUUGGUGGGGUAGUGGCUUACCAAGGCUUUGACGGGUAGCCGGCCUGAGAGGGUGACCGGCCACAUUGGGACUGAGAUACGGCCCAGACUCCUACGGGAGGCAGCAGUGGGGAAUAUUGCACAAUGGGCGGAAGCCUGAUGCAGCAGCGCCGCGUGCGGGAUGACGGCCUUCGGGUUGUAAACCGCUUUCGCCUGUGACGAAGCGUGAGUGACGGUAAUGGGUAAAGAAGCACCGGCUAACUACGUG